UCAUCACGGCAAGAACGGUGAGGUCUAUUAAAUAUUCUCCUAUCCAUCAACCGUUUAUGCCAAGUUUUCUUAAUUGAUAGAUAGUUUUGGGGUUUAAUGGUCGGAUUUAGGAUUUAUGUAGAGUUCUUAAAAUUUAGGGUUUUUAUCUGGGGUUUAACAGAAAUACGAAAGGAAUGAAACCCGAGAAGCCAAGACAAUUCCAUGGCGAGCUCUUGACCCGUUUUCCUGCAAGGUAUCAAAGAAAGAUAAAUGAAGAAAAUGAGGCAUCGGUUGUGGCAUUGAAUACCGAGAGUUUGCGGAAAUCCUCAGUCAUUGCCACAGUUUCCUUCUCGAAUUCAAGUUAGAUUUAUGAGAAUUGAAGACGUUAAUAAGUGAAUAACAAUUCAAAGAAUGGUGACAUUAAGAUAAUUCAAAAUCUCAGUGGUUCUCAUUACCGAAUCAUUUUACAGCUCCUUUUAAAUUCUACGGAGUACUGCAUAAGGUGGGAUAAAGAGAUAUAAGGGGGGAUUGCAC